rnacentral:rRNA from 1 species
UACAGAGGGUGCUAGCGUUGUUCGGAAUCAUUGGGCGUAAAGGGUGUGUAGGUGGCGCGCUAAGUCGGGUGUGAAAUUUCGGAGCUUAACUCCGAAACUGCAUUCGAUACUGGCGUGCUUGAGGACUGGAGAGGAGACUGGAAUUCAUGGUGUAGCAGUGAAAUGCGUAGAGAUCAUGAGGAAGACCAGUGGCGAAGGCGGGUCUCUGGACAGUUCCUGACACUGAGACACGAAGGCCAGGGGAGCAAACGGG